GACGAACGCUGGCGGCGUGCUUAACACAUGCAAGUCGAACGGAAAGGCCCUGCUUUUGUGGGGUGCUCGAGUGGCGAACGGGUGAGUAACACGUGAGUAACCUGCCCUUGACUUUGGGAUAACUUCAGGAAACUGGGGCUAAUACCGGAUAGGAGCUCCUGCUGCAUGGUGGGGGUUGGAAAGUUUCGGCGGUUGGGGAUGGACUCGCGGCUUAUCAGCUUGUUGGUGGGGUAGUGGCUUACCAAGGCUUUGACGGGUAGCCGGCCUGAGAGGGUGACCGGCCACAUUGGGACUAAGAUACGGACCAGACUCCUACGGGAGGCAGCAGUGGGGAAUAUUGCACAAUGGGCGGAAGCCUGAUGCAGCAACGCCGCGUGCGGGAUGACGGCCUUCGGGUUGUAAACCGCUUUCGCCUGUGACGAAGCGUGAGUGACGGUAAUGGGUAAAGAAGCACCGGCUAACUACGUG
rnacentral:rRNA from 1 species